UAUUACUAACCCUGAAAACAGGAUCAAAGUUUAUUAAAUGACCCAAACAGAGGGAGGAGUGUUUGCAAUCUCUCCAUGAACUCAGAAAAUGGAAAAAUGCCACAAUGAUUUCACAGCAGUGAUAAUGUCUCCCUCUAUGCAGUGGCUAUGAAGGAUGGAAUUAGGGUGGGAACAUGACAUCCUGACCGCACUGAAAUUGAGGGUGAAUCUGCUGCUCCAAAACAGCUACAGUUUUCAGAAUCGAUAUCAUUAUAAUAAUAUAGAAUAUAGGCAUAAAAAGUUGCAUUUGAGCUGUCAGGUUCAACAAAGUGUGAUCUGUUUGAGAAGCAAGCUGAGGCGUUCACACAAUGGUGGGAAUUCCUCUGGUCGGUGCUGCAGUGCACUGGGGCCGUGUGGACCUCAGUUUAUUGUUGCUGUGGAUGUACGAUUACACUGCAGUGCCAUUUCACCCACAGACCGAGCAAAAUACCUCAAACAGAGCAGCAACUCAGUCACAGUGGAUACUGCAAACAAACACUGUAUAUAGUAACAGUGAUGACACAAAGCUGAUAUGUAGCAGGUACAGCCUGAUGCCAUAGAAAAACUCUUUUAUAUUCCACAAAGAUCCCCAAAAAUAUGGUUUUCCAUUUUGGUUUUUAGAAAACCAUUAAAGUCAUCCAUAAAAAAAACAAUGAAAAACCAUACAGCCAACUGAAGAACUGUAAAAUGAUUAUAGAUGGGUUUUUUUUUUUCGAUACUGAACCUGAAAUGCUGCAAAGAACCAUCAAAGAACCUUAAAUUUUAAGUAAAUGUAAAUGGUAAAAACUUGUAGAGACAUGGUUCUCAUUUGAAUAUCUAUUUAGAGACUUAACACUCACAACAGGUCUUGUCAAACACAGUCUGUUUCUUCACAUCUUUUCUGCAUAGCAGAAACCAGAAUAAGACACUGAGGUACAUGGGGAAAGCAGGGCUGUACAGUUGUGGUUAAUGUAAAAAGGUGUGAAUGAAACACCAUCUGUUUUAUUGCUGUCAGUUGUGAUAAUGCCUGAGGGGCUGCAAACCCCCCGUUCCGUCUACAUGUUAACCGGAUUAGCAGAGCAAUUGUUGGAUUAUGAAAAGCAAAGGCGUAGCUUAGUGUAAUUCAUUUGGCUGAAUUAACCAUUAAAUGGCAUUUCUUGUUGAGGAAUAAUCAUUUAUGAAGAUUAAGCAACGAGUGUUCAUUUAGAAACUUCAAACUCGUUCUCUAUCACUUGACCCGACUCACACUGGGCGGUCACAAGACUCCGCAAUCGAGACAAAAUACCCCCCAGGGAAAAUACGGACACACAUCUGCUCCUCUUCCAGCAUGGAAACUCAAGACUUUAAUGAAAGUGUUUUUGAGAAGAACUGAGACUUUCUAUUUAUGUCUCCGAGACAAGUGAGAAGUGGUAGUGCAUUUCGCACAAAUGAAAGCAGAAGAGACGAGGCUUUGCAGAAGCAUGCUAGUUGAUGGGUGGCGGUGGUGACACAUCCUGUGAGACUGUUUCCACUGUCUUCUGCCUUUUCUAUAUACCACAUCUGCACUAUCAGGCGUCCUUUACACAUAUAAACACAAGAAGAUGGAUGAAAAGGUGUCAGGGUGCAUGCAUUGACAUUACAGAAGGGAAAUAAGAAAGCUGUGACACAUAUGGUCAUUUAUGGUACAGACACUUCCGUUCAAAGGUUUGGGGUCAGUAUAAGAAGUCUCUCAUGCUCACCACGAGGCUAUGUUUAGUUGAUCAAAAAUACACACACAAAAAAAAUAUUGUUUUUUGAUGGUGUUCACUUUAUUUAAAGGGGUGAUAUAAUGCCAUUUUUACAAGAUGUAAAAUAUGUUAAGUUUUAGCUCAAAAUACCCCACUCUUUAAGGAUGAGCAAAAACGCUCAAUUUUUGUGUGUGUCCCUUUAAAUGCAAAUGAGCUGCUACCCCGCAGAGGGCGGGGUUUCAAAAGCUCGUGUUAGCACAUAGUGUUAGCACAUAGUGUUAGCAGCGCCGAUUACCUCACGAAGACUGAAAAUGUCAGAAACUGUUCAGCCUUUUAUGUUCAAACUGAAGUCAGACAAUGGUGGAGAGACUCAAGAAGAACUGACAACAUGUAGAAUGCAACAGGACACUUCUGAAUGGCCAGCCCAAAAAGUCCAGUCCAACGGGUGUGCUCUGGGAGAAGAAGUGGUCUUUGAGAGGAACAGAGGGGAAUUGCUCCGGAGAAGUGAGAGAGAGUCUAGCGCGCAACUAUGGGCAAAACACAAGAAACGGAAGAGAAGUCGGAAAUCCUAAAGAAACUACAAGGGUGUGAUUCCAGGAGUACAAUACAAGAAGAAAGCAGAACAGGAGAAGAAAAGAUGCAGCGGGAGAUGCUAAUGGCCAGGUCAAGCGCCACCUCUCUGAUUCCCUGAAGAGACAUGGUCCAACUGUAGAGGUCUGAGAUGGGUCUGGGUGCAGCCGGACCCUGCUCUCUGGACUUCACCCGAAGCACACAUGAAUUUCCUUGUUGUCUUCUCUCUGGU